rnacentral:rRNA from 1 species
GACGAACGCUGGCGGCGUGCUUAACACAUGCAAGUCGAACGGAAAGGCCCCUUCGGGGGUCCUCGAGUGGCGAACGGGUGAGUAACACGUGAGUAACCUGCCCUUGACUUCGGGAUAACUUCAGGAAACUGGGGCUAAUACCGGAUAGGAAUCCUUGCUGCAUGGUGGGGGUUGGAAAGCUUCGGCGGUUUUGGAUGGACUCGCGGCUUAUCAGCUUGUUGGUGGGGUAGUGGCUUACCAAGGCUUUGACGGGUAGCCGGCCUGAGAGGGCGACCGGCCACAUUGGGACUGAGAUACGGCCCAGACUCCUACGGGAGGCAGCAGUGGGGAAUAUUGCACAAGGGGCGGAAGCCUGAUGCAGCAACGCCGCGUGCGGGAUGACGGCCUUCGGGUUGUAAACCGCUUUCAGCAGGGGCGAAGCUUGUGGUGACGGUACCUGCAGAAGAAGCACCGGCUAACUACGUG